rfam:Brachypodium distachyon strain Bd21 chromosome 4, whole genome shotgun sequence.
CUAAUACUCCCUCGGUCCCAUAUUGAAUGACGAAAUAUUACAUGUAUCUAAACGUUUUUUGAUAUAGAUACAUUCAUAUUUAGACAAUUUUGAGUCACUUAAUAUGGGACGGAGGGAGUAAUAC